UUUGCUUCAACUUAUAUAUAUGUGGAGAAGUAGCUUGAAGGCUGACCUGGAUUUGUUCUGUAUCUGGUGGAGUGAGAGUUUUUCUCUAAGGUUUUGUUGUUGUUUUUUUCUUUUGGACUGUAAGAGCUUUGUAAAAUGAUCAGUUUAGUAAAUAUUUGUUUCUCAUAUAAACUGCUACAUAAAUACGCUUCUCCUUGAUAUAUUGUGCC
rnacentral:lncRNA from 1 species